rnacentral:rRNA from 16 species
UAUAGGGGCGAAAGACUAAUCGAACCAUCUAGGAGCUGGUUCCCUCCGAAAUUUCCCCCAGGAUAGCUGCGAUUGAUCAAUUUUAUCAGGUAAAGCUAAUGAUUAGAGGUUCCGGGGGCGUAAUGCCCUCGUCCUAUUCUCAAACUUUAAAUGGGUAAGAACCUGGGGGUGCUUAAUUGAACCCUACGGUCGAAUGAAGGCCGCUAGUGGGCCACACCGGGUAAGCUGGUUUGGCGAU